CUAGUACUCCCUCCGUCCGAAAAAGCUUGUCCCAAACUUGUCUUUUAAAUGGAUGUAUCUAGCACUAACUUGGUGCUAGAUACAUCCAUUUGAGGGACAAGCUUUUUCGGACAGAGGGAGUAUGUG
rnacentral:pre_miRNA from 1 species